CUGCUUUGCACAGGGCUGCUGGGAGCCAGGGGGCGCGGGCGCGGCUGCUCCCCCCACCCCGCGAAAAAGAAACAAAUUAGGCCAACUGUCCAAUGAGGGGCCGCAAAUGUAUUUAUUAAUGCGAGGGAAAGCCUGCCAUCCUUGAUGGAUGGCUCAGACAGACACCAGAGCGCAUCAGGGAGACGCAAGCCCCUCAGAGAGAUGGCGGGAUGGAAGAGAGGGGACCGCUGGAGCCUGGCUGGGGUCGGUGCGGCGGGAACUCCCGAGGGCUGCCUGGAGAGGAAUGGCCCAGGAAACGGGCAACUUCUGGGGAAACCAGAGGAAAAUUGCACUCAUGUUUACAAGUCUCCCCUCCCCUCCCCAGUUUGCCCCUCUGGGCCCUGGAGAUAGCACCGAGGUCGGAGAGUGAGGGGUCUCCAUACUUUCUGGAUAUAGAAAGAGGCGAGAAGCUCUCAUCCGUGUGUUAGGGACGGGAGAAGGGAAGUAGGCAAAAGCCUAUGCUUCGAAUUCUCCUUCCUCUCUCUUUCCUCCACCCUUUUCUUUUCUUUCCUCUCACCCUAUGUCCUCGGCCGUAUAUCAUGUCUUCACUUUUGCUCCGUCGUCCCUCCUUCCUCUUCGUCUCUUCUGUUGUUUCUUUCCUCCAUCUCCCCCAUGCCCCGUUGGUGACAUCAGCUGGCUGUGAUAGGAACUGCCUUGCGAAGAUGUCUUCUGUGACCAGUCUGAACACCUAUAAUGCUUUCUAUUUUUCCUUCUCUAGAGUCAUGGGGGAACUGAGAGCCCCCUUGGAAACUCAAAUUUGACGACCCAGUUUGUGAGAAAACACAACCCCACCCCUUUUCUACCCUCCCCACUAAAUCCUCAGCUCCAGCCCACUAGGAAUGUGGAGUGCAAACUGAAAAUUACCGAUUUCUGGUCAGGCCUGGGAUUCAGAAACACAGGAGAAGGUCUGUAAAACUUAGGCUGCUUUGAGGUUAGAGGCUUCCUCUUUACUAUCCCUUGACAAAAAAAAAAAAAAAGAAAGAAAGAAAAGAAAAGAAAUACCCCUUUAAAGCCUAAGCCAAAUUCUAACAUUUGACUAUGCAGC
rnacentral:lncRNA from 10 species